AGAACGAACGCUGGCGGCAUGCCUAAUACAUGCAAGUCGAACGAGAUCUUCGGAUCUAGUGGCGCACGGGUGCGUAACGCGUGGGAAUCUACCCUUGGGUUCGGAAUAACAGUUGGAAACGACUGCUAAUACCGGAUGAUGACGAAAGUCCAAAGAUUUAUCGCCCAGGGAUGAGCCCGCGUAGGAUUAGCUAGUUGGUGAGGUAAAGGCUCACCAAGGCUACGAUCCUUAGCUGGUCUGAGAGGAUGAUCAGCCACACUGGGACUGAGACACGGCCCAGACUCCUACGGGAGGCAGCAGUAGGGAAUAUUGGACAAUGGGGGCAACCCUGAUCCAGCUAUGCCGCGUGAGUGAUGAAGGCCUUAGGUGUAAAGCUCUUUACCCGAGAUGAUAAUGACAGUAGUCGGAGAAUAAGCUACCGGCUAACUCCGUGCCAGCAGCCG
rnacentral:rRNA from 1 species